rnacentral:rRNA from 1 species
UACGUAGGGUGCAAGCGUUAAUCGGAAUUACUGGGCGUAAAGCGUGCGCAGGCGGUUGUGCAAGUCAGAUGUGAAAUCCCCGGGCUUAACCUGGGAACUGCAUUUGUGACUGCACGGCUAGAGUGCGGCAGAGGGGGAUGGAAUUCCGCGUGUAGCAGUGAAAUGCGUAGAUAUGCGGAGGAACACCGAUGGCGAAGGCAAUCCCCUGGGCCUGCACUGACGCUCAUGCACGAAAGCGUGGGGAGCAAACAGG